CAACUGGAGCCAUCCUCCUGCCUCAGCCUCCUGAGUGCUGGGAUGACAGGUGUGCAGUGAAUGACGAUUUUUAAAGCACACAUGUCUGUUACUCUCUAGGUAAGGAAUCAGAACACGACACCAACUGUCCCCCUCCAUCACAAUGCCCUCUGUCUACCCUGCAGGGAGCCACUGUCCUGACACAGGAGUGUUCUUUUCCUUGCCUCUCUUUCUGGUUUUACCAACUCUCUUCCAGGGGCCUCAGCCUGAGAUAGAAAGGUUUGGAGUCUGCAGGAGACAGGGCCAGAGGGGGAAGCAGGAGGUCUUCGAGAUCACUGCGGUGUGUAGGCUCCCAGGCAAGCCCACCUGCCAUUGUCCCUCAGCCUGCAGGGGUACUCAAGAUCCAAGCAGAAAGAUUGUGUGCUGUGUUGGAGCCCCAGUGCCAGUGACUGCAGACUGCAUGAUCCAUGGGGCAGGACAGAGAAGAAUGGGCUGGCCCCAGCCUGGGGGUAAACGACCAAAGUCAAAAAAGCUGUGACUACCUCCUGCCAGGCAUAAGGAGGUUACAAGAAAAAUUAAAUUACAAAUUUUAGCUAAUUGAUAAAUGUACUUUGGGCUUCUAAUUUAAAUUAAUGUUUAAUUAACGUGCUUAAAAUCUUUCUUAUACAUUAAAAGUUCUUAAAUUAUAAUUAUAAGGUUAAUUUAAAUUCAAGGUUGCUUAGAGAUCUGUUGGCAACC
rnacentral:lncRNA from 1 species